rnacentral:snoRNA from 1 species
AAGACUAUACUUUCAGGGAUCAUUUCUAUAGUAUGUUAUAACCAUUGCAAUCACCAUUGAGUAAGCUAUUUCCAUGAGGGGA